rnacentral:rRNA from 1 species
UACGAAGGGGGCUAGCGUUGUUCGGAUUUACUGGGCGUAAAGCGCACGUAGGCGGAUCGUUAAGUCGGGGGUGAAAUCCUGGAGCUCAACUCCAGAACUGCCUUCGAUACUGGCGAUCUUGAGUCCGGAAGAGGUGAGUGGAACUCCUAGUGUAGAGGUGGAAUUCGUAGAUAUUUAGGAAGAGCACCAGUGGCGAAGGCGGCUCACUGGUCCGGUACUGACGCUGAGGUGCGAAAGCGUGGGGAGCAAACAGG